UUAGAAUCCAGCUGCAUGCUUUAAGGAAGUCCUGGCUAGCCAGUGGGAGUGUGGAGAUGCCUGGGAGAAUGAGACAGCUCAUGGAGAAGAACAGAGGUGCCCAGUUGAGCCCCCAGCUGAAUGCAGCCACGUGAGUAACACCAUGUGGAGCAGAAGAAUCUCCCAACCAACCCACAGGAUCAUGAAAAAUAAUAAAUCAAGAAAAACAGCCUGAACAAAGCAAACAUGAGGAUUUGUGGUGGCCUCGGUCUGGGACCUCAAAGAUGAAUGCAUUUUACCUUCAGGACAAGAAGGCUCUAUCCAGGACAGGAUUAGCCCCAAAGGCCGGGGACCCCCGUGGGGAAAACUUACAGCCUGUGGAUGUCAUGAGCAAGUGAGCAAUGGAGGUUCCCAGGAAGGAAUCCCUUCACCCAGAAAGAAGGGGGAAGCUGGCUGAGCCAUGAGCCUUGUGCAAGUUACUGAGGCCACACCUGCUCAGCUCUGGCUUGCGAGAAAGGCUUUUUCACUAUAGGCUGGCUUCUGCCCUGUCCACCCUACUACUUAGGUGAAAAUUUCCCAGGAAAUUGUAAUUUGGAAGGUCAGAAUGGUUUAGAAACUUGAAAGCAUUUAAGAGCCAUUCUGGAAGAGCUACACCAUAUUCUGUUGAUAGUACCUACAGUUCUCAGCACUUUAAGUGCAUUAUGUCAUUUAAUACCCACAGCAACCCUUUGAGAUGGAUCCUAUGAUUAUAUCAUUUUGCAGAAGAGAAAACUGAGGCUGUAAAUUACUCAGCUGUGGAUCAAGAAUUCAAUGAGCCUCUCUGUUGGAGAGUUGAAGUCCUUGGCACUUGAAUCUAACAGAGAGAGCCUGGGGGUGUAAGUGCCCCUUUCCCCCACCUCUCUAGUCUGUCUCUGUCACCUGGGUCUCCUCAGGCUUCCUGAAAUGGAACAAAGGCAGAACUGAGACUUCAGUGGUGGGUGUGUAUGUAGCCAGCAGGCGCUGUUGGCAUGGUGUUUUCAGCGGGAUCCUCCUCACUCCCAGUUUCGCUGUUGUCUGAUGUCGGGUUCUUGUAACCUCUGCAUGGAAAGCCCCUCCCUCUAAGGCCAUCAGCUCCCCCCCACCCCCACCCCACCACUUUGUGUAAAGGAGGCCUGGUACUGGGGUUUUUCAGAAAUGUGAAAUCAGCUGUGAGCAGCUGUGAGCGCCUGCAGCCCUUCCUGCUUCAGAAGAAACCAUACAAUACUCUGUUUUACAAUGACGUUUGUUUUUUAAGAACACAGAGUAGAAGAAAAAAAAAAAACCCAGAAGGGAUCUCCGUGUAGUUUGUGGCAGGAAAGGAACACACUAAGCAUAUGACAAAUGAGAGUUGUUAGAGGCAUCUUCUCACCCAUCACAGGCAGGUUGCUGCUGGUCCCUGGGGGCCCCAACAAAGCCCAUCUGGAAGACGGCCUGGAGGCUGAUUUGGCACAAGGUGCCUCCAUGCCCAGUGUGCUUCUGUGAAGGGUCCACUCCCUACCCUGCUGGAUGGAGGCAGGAUGCAAACAUCUCGUGACAGCUCACUCGCAGGAGAUGCUCUGAGAAAGAAGCAAGAGCCCAAAUCCUUAGCACCUGGAGAGAAUUAGGCUGCAUCGCCUUGUUUAUCACUGUGACCCCAGGCCCAAAACCUGGGUCCGACUUGUAGCAGGGGUCAAAAAUAUUUGCCGGUAAAUCAGAAGAACUAAAGAGAACUUUCCUACAUUAACAGGAAAUGGUGCAAUAACAUGGCCCCUGCUCAGCAGCUCUCCUCCCCGGGGUCCCUCCUAAAGCACAUGUUGUCGGGUGGUUGCUGGACACAGAGGCACAGAGAAGCUGGCAGCCUGCUCCAAGUCACUCCCCAAGUCUUUCCAGCCAUUCUAUUAGGAUCAAUGAGCUACUUUUUUGGAGGGGGUGAUUUUGUCCCAUCGUGUCCAUCCAAAACCUAGAGCCAUCCCAGAAGCACACUGGGCAUGGAGGCACCUUGUGUCACCAUUACUUAAGAAGUGCCUUGGGGCGCCUGGGUGGCUCAGUGUGUGAAGUGUCCGACUCUUGGCUUUGGCUCAGGUCAUGAUCUCAUGGUUUGUGGGUUCGAGCCCCACGUCGGACUCUGCACUGACAGCAUGGAACCUGCUUGGGAUUCUCUUUCUCUCUUUCUCUCUGCUCGUCCCCAUCUCCGCAUUCUGUUUCUCUCUCAAAAAAUAGGCAAACAUUAAAAAAAAAUCUUUAAAAAAGAAAUGCCAGCAUGGCCAUCCUCACAGAAGCUUUCUUGCCUUCCCUUUUGGUGAGAACUUACAUAAGCUCCCUGAAACUUGUGCUCACCAGGCCCCUGGAGGCUGCCCAAGGAGUCUGGCCCUAGCUAUACUGACCCAGGCAAACGUAGCUCUGAUGGUGGUUAUCAACUAGAGAGCUAGGACCCAUUGAUAACUGAGGUUCUGCCUUUAUCCCUGGAAAACCCCAGCGAGGCUGGGCACUCUGUGGCUGUUCGCUGGGGCUCCCCCCAAUUCAUCCCUACUCUGCCCAGGGAAACCAGGUCUUUCCUGUUCUUCUUCUGCUUCUCCUUUUCAUCUUCAUUCCAGUCCCCAGUAGAGCCUUAAUCACUGUAGCUCUUGGUAAAACCUACAUGACUGGGUUAACUCUGAGGUUUGCAGGUCAACUUGUGCAGUUAGGCCAGAUGCUGAUUUCUGUGUGAAAGAUGUCUAAUGCAGACAGUCUUCUUGUGGUAACCUCUCAGAAGGGGCAUGAAGAGCAUCACCAAAGUUUCUGCAACACCACUUGUCUUAUGGGACAAUGGCACAUUCCCUUCUCCUAAAUGUGUAUUUCCCUGUAUUCCCUUCACGUCCCUCUGGAUCUUGAGCCCUUGCAAGGGGAACCCCAGGAUACAGUUGCUGCAAGCUGGGCUGCUGAGAAGGGUUAAUUAUUGUUAGACAUUUGCAUUUUUUGUCCCCUUGACUGACUUUAGGACUCAAGGAUGAGGUCAGAAAGGCACAAAUGACAUUAACCUAAUGUACAGGGGUCACAUCCUGGACACCCACUUGACUCUUCAGCACCCCAGAAGCUUCCCACUUACCAAAAAAGGAGUAAAGGGGAGAUAAGCCCCAAAUACACUUCACUAUGAUCACGCCACCAUUAAUUACCUCUUACAAUAUUUCCUAACCAGCAGCAAACACCAGAACUACUGGGGAGCACCUCAAAAUACAUGUCCAGAGCAGCAUCCUGGGAACCUCUGAGUGAUUGAUCAAGAUUAGAAGCCAGGUUCGUGUUCUUCACAAGAGUUCCCCUGGUGGUUCUGAUGUGAAACCCUGGCUAAGAACACUAAGUCAGACAUUUCAGUUUAAAAAUCUUCACUGCUUACCCUCAUGAGAUGUGGGCAUAGAAAAGUGGUAUUACAGAGAAUUUGAAACCACACUGAGCUCAGUGACUUCCUUCUUGGUAGAGAGGUCAGUGGGCAAAAUAGUGCUUUUCGCUACCCAGGAGGCUCUUUUUCAGUCAGAAGCACCUGAUGCUUUCUCUAAAGCUAAGGUGAGGCAGGUUCCCAGGGCUAGAGGUGAGGUCUAAUGGAUAACCCACAAGCACGGUGAGAUUGUGCACCAGGGAACUUUGUAGGUUCCCCAACGUGUGCUGUGUGUGGCACUGAUGAUUUGGCCCGGGAAAUGUAAACACUUCAUGCAUACUCAGAGUUUGGGCCACCUGGGUUAGGGAUUGUCUGUGCUCUGAACUGGGGAAAGCAAGCACCCAUGGAGAGUUUGAACAAGGGGUCUUGACCAACACAUGACUAGCUGAGCAAGGCUCCUCUCCAGUUAAUGCUUCCCUCCAGGUAGGCUGUGCAAACACUUCAAAAAUGGGUAAGACCCUCCAUACCUUCACUUUUGGUAUUUCACCAGGAAAAUGUGGGCUUAAAUUUGCUCAUUAAAAAACUGAAAAUUUCCAUCAGGUUUUCAAAAUCCAUGCUUUUCAGUAUAGGUUUUUAGAAUUCAGAACUUAAUUUUUGCCUCGUCGUAUAAGUAAUACAUAAUCCAUUUAAAAAUUUGGAAAAUACAUUAAGGUAUAAGAAAUGAGAAAAAUUAUUCAUAACUGAUAUGAACACUUUGGAUUAUCUCUUGAA